AUGAACGCUGGCGGCGUGCCUAAUACAUGCAAGUCGCGCGAUCGGACGAGAAGCUUGCUUUUCUGAUGUUAGCGGCGGACGGGUGAGUAACACGUGGAUAACCUACCUAUAAGACUGGGAUAACUUCGGGAAACCGGAGCUAAUACCGGAUAAUAUUUUGAACCGCAUGGUUCAAAAGUGAAAGACGGUCUUGCUGUCACUUAUAGAUGGAUCCGCGCUGCAUUAGCUAGUUGGUAAGGUAACGGCUUACCAAGGCAACGAUGCAUAGCCGACCUGAGAGGGUGAUCGGCCACACUGGAACUGAGACACGGUCCAGACUCCUACGGGAGGCAGCAGUAGGGAAUCUUCCGCAAUGGGCGAAAGCCUGACGGAGCAACGCCGCGUGAGUGAUGAAGGUCUUCGGAUCGUAAAACUCUGUUAUUAGGGAAGAACAUAUGUGUAAGUAACUGUGCACAUCUUGACGGUACCUAAUCAGAAAGCCACGGCUAACUACGUG
rnacentral:rRNA from 1 species